AUUGAACGCUGGCGGCAGGCCUAACACAUGCAAGUCGAGCGGAUGAGAGGAGCUUGCUCCUCGAUUCAGCGGCGGACGGGUGAGUAAUGCCUAGGAAUCUGCCUAGUAGUGGGGGACAACGUUUCGAAAGGAACGCUAAUACCGCAUACGUCCUACGGGAGAAAGUGGGGGAUCUUCGGACCUCACGCUAUUAGAUGAGCCUAGGUCGGAUUAGCUAGUUGGUAGGGUAACGGACUACCAAGGCGACGAUCCGUAACUGGUCUGAGAGGAUGGUCAGUCACACUGGAACUGAGACACGGACCAGACGCCUACGGGAGGCAGCAGUGGGGAAUAUUGGACAGUGGGCGAAUGCCUGAUCCAGCGAUGCCGCGUGUGUGAAGAAGGCCCUCGGGUCGUAAAGCACUUUAAGUUGGGAGGAAGGGCUUACAGCGAAUACCUGUGAGUUUUGACGUUACCGACAGAAUAAGCACCGGCUAACUUCGUGCCAGCCGCCGCCGUAA
rnacentral:rRNA from 1 species